rnacentral:misc_RNA from 1 species
GAUGAAGAACGCAGCGAAAUGCGAUAAGUAGUGUGAAUUGCAGAAUUCAGUGAAUCACCGAAUCUUUGAACGCACAUUGCGCCCCUUGGUAUUCCAUGGGGCAUGCCUGUUCGAGCGUCAUUUGUACCUUCAAGCUUUGCUUGGUGUUGGGUGUUUGUCCAUUCUCUUGCAGAGGGACUCGCCUUAAAGUAAUUGGCAGCCAGUGUUUUGGUUUUGAAGCGCAGCACAAGUCGCGAUUCAACGCUAUACGCCAGCUUCCACAAGCCUUUUUCACUUUUGACCUCGGAUCAGGUAGGGAUACCCGCUGAACUUAAGCAUAUCAAUAAGCGGAGGA